CGCGGGAUGGAGAAGUGGUCAACUCGCUCGGCUCAUAACCAAGAGAACGGUGGUUCGAGUCCACCUCCCGCAA
rnacentral:tRNA from 1 species